CAGUUGAUCAUAGCCCAAACCUCUGAUUAACCAUCUGAGGCAACUGAUGAGUCAACUGCAGGAGCACAGGUGAAGGUAAUUCAGCUGUGCUCCUGGAAGGGGUGGAACUUGACUCCACCUCUCCUAGAUCCCAUUUAAGGACUGACCACCACUAAGACAGCAUCUCUGGAGUCUGCUUCUCUGUGGAGUUUUUGUGAUGAGAUUUGACAUUGGUGACAACACAACUGCCUUAGAGAUUUUGCCAAAAUGGAAAUGUAUCCUGUUGCCUUUGGCUUAGAAGGACUCCACAGAAAUCAAGAUGAGAUGUGGAAUAGAACUUGCAAGUUCAACUUGAUGGCUGAAUCCUGUCUAUGAGUAUAGGAAAUAAAUGUGACUUGUGAGCAACCGAAUGGGAGCUGCUGAGUCCUGGCCUGAACCACUGAUUGAGCACCUGUGGAAAG